rnacentral:rRNA from 1 species
UACGUAGGGCGCAAGCGUUGUCCGGAAUUAUUGGGCAUAAAGAGCUCGUAGGCGGCCAGUUGCGUCCGAUGUGAAAUCCCAGGGCUUAACCCUGGGCGUGCAGUGGAUACGGGCUGGCUGGAGGCAGGCAGGGGAGAACGGAAUUCCCGGUGUAGCGGUGAAAUGCGCAGAUAUCAGGAGGAACACCGAUGGCGAAGGCAGGUCUCUGGGCAUUAACUGACGCUGAGGAGCGAAAGCAUGGGGAGCGAACAGG